AUAAACCAUUAUAAAUAACUUAGAAACCAUUACAAAUGAUCAAUAAAUCUUCAGAAUUAUUCAUAACUUGUAACUGACAAAAAUUCUCUCUUUCCCGAGAUAAUUUUAAUUUUCUUUCUCCUCUGAGAAGAACUGAAGAGCGAGAAAUGAGUAAGCUGAUGGACUCUUAUCUUCUCUACACGGUGCUUCUUCUUCUUCUUGGAUCAGUUUCUCUGUCUAACGCAAGGCCACAGGCUAAUCGAUAUCCUAGUUCAUGCGAUUCGUGACGAACGCGACCGAUUUAGCGUCGGAGGAUUACUACGACUACAUAAUCGUCGGUGGAGGAACGGCGGGAUGUCCACUCGCUGCCACACUCUCCCAAUCCUUCCGCGUCCUUCUCCUCGAGCGCGGCGGCUUUCCGUACACCAGACCUAACGUGAUGACACACGACGGUUUCUUGACGACUCACAGACGUCAACAGCUUCGACUCUCCCGCUCAGUCCUUCGUCUCCGAGGAAGGAGUGCCCAACGCGAGAGGCCGUGUUCUCGGCGGAAGCAGUGCGAUCAACGCUGGGUUCUACAGCAGAGCUGAUAGACAGUUCUUUGAGAACUCAGGUCUCAAUUGGGAUCUGACGAGUGUGAAUCCUAUCUGAUAUCUCCGGUGAGAGACACCUCUGUGUCUGUUGUGGGGGGGAGAAGAAGAGUAAUUUAGGUUUAAUUAUUUAAGGGUACAAUGGUAUUUUGACCAUUAAAAAUCUGGUGGUAUAUUUGGUUAGUGUAUAAGUGAAAAGUGGUAUUAAGAAAGUUGUAUUAGUGGCAUUUCCCCUUCAUGUUUACCACUAAUAAAUAUAUAUUUUCAAAAAUAUUUUCUUCA